GGGGGCGUGGUGGAAUGGUAGACACAACGGACUUAAAAAUCCGUUGACUAUUUACGGUCGUGAGGGUUCAAGUCCCUCCGCCCCCA
rnacentral:tRNA from 1 species